rnacentral:rRNA from 1 species
AUACGGAAGGUCCAAGCGUUAUCCGGAAUCAUUGGGUUUAAAGGGUCCGCAGGCGGUCAAUUAAGUCAGAGGUGAAGGCCCAUCGCUCAACGAUGGAACUGCCUUUGAUACUGGUUGACUUGAGUUAUACGGAAGUAGAUAGAAUAAGUAGUGUAGCGGUGAAAUGCAUAGAUAUUACUUAGAAUACCGAUUGCGAAGGCAGUCUACUACGUAUAUACUGACGCUGAGGGACGAAAGCGUGGGGAGCGAACAGGAUUAGAAACCCUAGUAGUCC